AUCUACAGCAAUACCACCCUGAAAGCGCCCGAUCUCGUCUGAUCUUGGAAGCUAAGCAGGGUUGGGCCUCGUUAGUACUUGGAUGGGAGACUUUGUGUGGAUUCAGGGAUUUGGAUG
ensembl:rRNA 5S_rRNA 5S ribosomal RNA